GUCAAUCAUAAAUCGGGAUCCUAUAGGAUGUUUGAAAAACAGUCUGGAACAUUAGUCGUUAAAGCCCUGCACUGCCAUGAAUUUUAAGCCCGUGACGUUCAGGCCCUACCCUACCCAGGCUUGAUUGCUUCUGCCAAAUUUAAGGCCCUGACAAAUUUAAAGCCCUGACAAAUUUAAAGCCCUGACAAAUUUAAAGCCCCGCCCUAAACCCGAAAUCAGAAAUAACUUCCUCCAUUAGCUGCUGUUCUCUGUCUGUCGCAGAAGGCUCGCUCUGCAUGCACUCGGCUGAUGGCUGCUCUGUCUGUGGCAGAAGGCUCGCUCUGCAUGCACUCGGCUGAUGGCUGCUCUGUCUGUGGCAGAAGGCUCGCUCUGCAUGCACUCGGCUGAUGGCUGCUCUGUCUGUGGCAGGUGGCUCGCUCUGCAUGCACUCGGCUGAUGGCUGCUCUGUCUGUGGC
rnacentral:lncRNA from 1 species